rnacentral:rRNA from 1 species
UCUCCUGGGAAACGGGUGGUAAUGCCGGAUGCUCCAGCUCACCGCAUGGUGUGUUGGGAAAGCCUUUGCGGCAUGGGAUGGGGUCGCGUCCUAUCAGCUUGAUGGCGGGGUAACGGCCCACCAUGGCUUCGACGGGUAGCCGGCCUGAGAGGGCGACCGGCCACAUUGGGACUGAGAUACGGCCCAGACUCCUACGGGAGGCAGCAGUGGGGAAUAUUGCACAAUGGGCGCAAGCCUGAUGCAGCGACGCCGCGUGAGGGAUGGAGGCCUUCGGGUUGUAAACCUCUUUUGUUAGGGAGCAAGGCAUUUUGUGUUGAGUGUACCUUUCGAAUAAGCACCGGCUAACUACGUGCCAGCAGCCGCGGUAAUACGUAGGGUGCAAGCGUUAUCCGGAAUUAUUGGGCGUAAAGGGCUCGUAGGCGGUUCGUCGCGUCCGGUGUGAAAGUCCAUCGCUUAACGGUGGAUCCGCGCCGGGUACGGGCGGGCUUGAGUGCGGUAGGGGAGACUGGAAUUCCCGGUGUAACGGUGGAAUGUGUAGAUAUC